ACGAGUUAUCUGAACCUUCGGGGAACGAUAACGGCGUCGAGCGGCGGACGGGUGAGUAAUGCCUAGGAAAUUGCCCUGAUGUGGGGGAUAACCAUUGGAAACGAUGGCUAAUACCGCAUGAUGCCUACGGGCCAAAGAGGGGGACCUUCGGGCCUCUCGCGUCAGGAUAUGCCUAGGUGGGAUUAGCUAGUUGGUGAGGUAAGGGCUCACCAAGGCGACGAUCCCUAGCUGGUCUGAGAGGAUGAUCAGCCACACUGGAACUGAGACACGGUCCAGACUCCUACGGGAGGCAGCAGUGGGGAAUAUUGCACAAUGGGCGCAAGCCUGAUGCAGCCAUGCCGCGUGUGUGAAGAAGGCCUUCGGGUUGUAAAGCACUUUCAGUCGUGAGGAAGGUGGUGAAGUUAAUAGCUGCAUUAUUUGACGUUAGCGACAGAAGAAGCACC
rnacentral:rRNA from 1 species